rnacentral:lncRNA from 1 species
AUGAAUGUGGGUAAUCAAGAAGGAGAGAAAUUUUUUUUAUAUUUUGAUUCUAUCUUGGAAAUCGAAGAUGUAGCCAGAAAGAUUUAUGGGAUAAAUAAAUGUAAGGUUCUGGUGCCAGAAAGUCAGUUGUCACCAUGUUUGGAAGAAAAAUAUGAAGAUGACAAAUUCAGUAAGAACAAAACACAGCAACUUCCUGGAAGUCAGAGGUCUUUGGAUAAAAAGAACCAAGAUAAAUGCAAAGAUGGUUCCUACAAGAUAACCACAUCUUGUAAAAGGAAAGUGUCUGAAGCAUCAGUGCUUAUUCCUGCAACUGCAAGAUUUUCCACACGGAGUCCACUGGUAUUUCUUAGUACGUGUAAGUUUACAGGUACUUUCAGGAUAGAAAUAAGUUGUAGUCUUUGAAGUGGCUAAUUGAGAAUAAUAAGGUAUAGGAAUGAAAUGUGAUCUAUUGCAGGGCUGGAAAGGAGUAAUGUAAACUUCAUAAAAUCUCUCCAGCAGAUGCUUUAAGCUUGAAAUUUUUAAAGUAGGCCACCUGCUAUACUGUUCCAUAGACAUGAUGCAGACAGAGUAGCAUUCCAAACAGCUGAAAGCUACCCAUUUCUUGUAUUACACUGACAGUAAGUUGUUUGUGCUGGAGCAAGCUAAAGUCAUCUUGUGAGGUGAAUUAGUAAACAAUAGAGUAGAACUAAAACUUGGGAGAUUUUUUGUUUCUUUUCUCACGACUGCCAUUCACCCUUGGUUUAAAGAAUUCUUGGCAGUAAGUGCUUUUAUAGCAGUCGAAGUGGGAAAUCAGGUUUCUCCCAUUUGUCUAUCCACCACCUGCAUUUUACUGGAAUGUUUUAGACAAAACAGUUUGCAAGCAUGUGAUGUUCAUUGUGACAGUUUUGUAGAAACUGUUUCUUUGGGAGUUGAUUAUGUUUCUAGUGAAUAAGGUGGAAUCAACUGCAGAUUUGAAUUGCA